UACACAGAACGUGGAAAGAAACGAAGAGGGAAGGGAAAAAGGGGUAACGGUGGGGUUUUAUGUAUAGGUGGACUUCAAAACACGUGUCUUUUUUCUUUCUUCGUCUGUGUCCAUGCAUUUCCUUCCAAAGGGAGAAGAGAAGAGAAGCUCACCUUCGAUUCUUCUACGACAAACUGAAUUCAUUUGAAGUUUUCUUUCUUGAUU
rnacentral:ribozyme from 11 species